rnacentral:rRNA from 1 species
UACAGAGGGGGCCAGCGUUAUUCGGAAUUAUUGGGCGUAAAGGGCGCGUAGGCGGCCAUGCGUGUCUUCCGUGAAAUCCCUCGGCUUAACUGAGGACGUGCGGAAGAAACUGCAAGGCUCGAGUCCGGGAGAGGGGGGUGGAAUUCCCAGUGUAGCGGUGAAAUGCGUAGAUAUUGGGAAGAACACCAGUGGCGAAGGCGGCUCACUGGCCCGUAACUGACGCUGAGGUGCGAAAGCGUGGGGAGCAAACAGG